CGCUCUAACCAACUGAGCUACUCCAGCACUGUUGCUUCUGUCUGGAGCAAAUUAAGGAAGAUAAUUUCAUUGUGCUUCUUAAUCCUACCUUUAGGUAAUAUAUAACAAGAGGAGAGGAAGGGGAAUUCCAUGACAAAAGGACAAGAAAGGAAGUUGAUGCAGUAAUUGUUAGUCUGCGAGAGUUGUCUUUGUGCUUGAAUUCUUAGAGUUAGAGCAUAGCAUACAAAAAAGUCUAAAAGGGCACGCCACCAAUAAUUGUUAGUUUUUAGUGUGAAAAGACCGGAUUUUUAUACCUUUUUGAUGGUGAUUUUUGUGUAUUUUGUUGUGAAUUGGGAUUUACUGUGUUUAAUCUUGGGUAUUUGAAUGAGGAAUUUGUUAAUGUUGUAUGUGUAGCUGUUGAUUGUUUUCAGUUGUGGGGUGCUUUGUGCUUAAAUUAUUGAGGUUUUUGGUUUGUUAGUGUUUUUUUUUUCUCUCCAAUUUGUGAGGAAGAAUCUAAAGGAAGUAGACUUUGGUGAUUAGUAGCUUAAUUGAGCUCUAAUGGUGAUUGGUAACUUUAUCGAGCUUGGUUGAAUGGUUAAAUUGAAGAUUAUGUGUAGAUAGUUGUUGGAUUUUUAGUGUGGUAAAAUAAUUUUUUGUUACCAUUUUUGGGUUUCUUGCAUGUGAUCACAAAAGAGUUCAUCUUGGCUACACAGAGGGAAGAUUUGCUGAGUCAUGGAGUUGCUAUCACAAAAGAACACCGUGCACAGACAUUGUUGAUCCGUUAUCAAUUGAAUGUUGAAAAGCUACUUGCUGUGCUCGUGGAGAAGGGAAAAUCGUUCUUGUUUACUGAAGCAGUUGUGACUGUUUUUGAACAUCUCGACAAUGAUGUGCCACUGAUUUCAUCUUCUACAAUAACUUGUGAUUAUGCAUAGGGGAUGUAUCUGGUGAUAAGGUCACAAGAGUGGAAUGUGUCCAUUGUUUCUGCAAUGAUUGUAAGCAGUGCACCCAUUCUCAAGGAGUGAUUUUCUCUUUUCAGCUGUAAUCAUAUCAUUUCUGAUGUGCAUAAUUCUAUAAAUACAUUGAUUUCAGAUGUUA